rnacentral:ribozyme from 12 species
GGCAGAUGACUGGUUGUUUUUUGUUUUGUUAUUCUCCUUUUUUUCUUUUCUUCCCAUUUUUCC